rnacentral:rRNA from 1 species
UACAGAGGUCUCAAGCGUUGUUCGGAUUCAUUGGGCGUAAAGGGUGCGUAGGCGGCGCGGUAAGUCGGGUGUGAAAUCUCGGAGCUUAACUCCGAAACUGCAUUCGAUACUGCCGUGCUUGAGGACUGGAGAGGAGACUGGAAUUUACGGUGUAGCGGUGAAAUGCGUAGAUAUCGUAAGGAAGACCAAUGGCGAAGGCGGGUCUCUGGACAGUUCCUGACGCUGAGGCACGAAGGCCAGGGGAGCAAACGGG